UAUUUGUCAAUGAGCUCAGGAUCUGUGGAGCAGCAAAUCCUCCACCAUGGUCUUAUCAGUCAUCUCUCAUUACUCUUGACCCCUGAUCAGCCAAAUCUG